AGGUCAAGCGAACAAGGGCGCAGGGCGAAUGCCUUGGCACUGGGAGCCGAUGAAAGACGUGAUAAGCUGCGAUAAGCUUCGGGGAGCUGCAAAUAAGCAUUGAUCCGGAGAUUUCUGAAUGAGGAAACUCACCUGGGUUCAUACUCAGGUACGUUAUACUGAACUUAAAAAUAGGUAUAUCGAGGGAACCGCCUGAACUGAAACAUCUAAGUAGGGCGAGGAAGAGACAUCAAACGAGAUUCCGUAAGUAGUGGCGAGCGAACGCGGAAGAGGGCAAACCGGGAGUAGAAAUACUUCCGGGGUACGGACCGCAUUUAGGACUUGAGUUGUUAACCGAACGGCAUGGGAAGGCCGGUCAGAGAGUGUGAGAACCACGUAGGUGAAAACGACAAGAGCUGAGCGAGUUCCAGAGUACGGCCAGACACGUGAAACCUGGUCGGAAUACGGGGGGACCACCCUCCAACCCUAAAUACUACCCAGUGACCGAUAGCGUAUAGUACUGUGAAGGAAAGGUGAAAAGCACCCCGGGAGGGGAGUGAAAGAGAACCUGAAACCCUGUGCCUACAAGCACCUAGAGCACGUCAAUGUGUGAUAGGGUACUUUUUGUAGAACGGUCCGGCGAGCGAUUGUAUGCAGCAAGGUUAAGGACUUAAGGUCUGGAGCCGAAGCGAAAGCGAGUUUGAAAAGGGCGUUAAGUUGCAUACAAUGGGCCCGAAACCGGGUGACCUACCCAUGGUCAGGUUGAAGUGGAAGUAAAAUUCCAUGGAGGACCGAACCGACCUCCGUUGAAAAGGCGGCGGAUGAACUGUGGGUAGCGGAGAAAUUCCAAUCGAACCCGGAGAUAGCUGGUUCUCCCCGAAAUAGUUUUAGGACUAGCCUCAAGUUAGAUACCUGGAGGUAAAGCACUGAAUAGCCUAGCGGCCGAGAGGUUAGCGAAGCUUAUCAAACUCAGAAUGCCAGAGUAUUGAUGCUUGGGAGUCAGACAGUGUCAGAUAAAUGUCAUUGUCAAAAGGGAAACAGCCCAGAUCUACAGCUAAGGUCCCAAAGUCAGGUUAAGUGGAAAACGAUGUGAAGAUACGUAGACAACCAGGAUGUUGGCUCAGAAGCAGCCACACAUUCAAAGAGUGCGUAAUAGCUCACUGGUCGAGCGUCUUUGCGCGGAGAAUUUAACGGGGCUAAACCUGACACCGAAGCUUAGGCAAUACAGCAAUGUAUUGGGUAGGGGAGCGUUGUAUACGCGGUGAAACAGUAGCGCAAGCGGCUGUGGAGUGUAUAGAAGUGAGAAUGCCGGAAUGAGUAGCGCGAAUGCAGUGAGAAUCUGCAUGGCCGAAAGCCUCAGGUUUCUGGAGGAAGGUUCGUCCGCUCCAGGUUAGUCGGGAGCUAAGGUGAGGCCUAACGGCGUAGCCGAUGCACAGACGGUAGAGAUUCCGUCACCACCAAAAGAGUUAAACACAGGGACACAUUUGAAGUCUCGGAGCCGGGUGUUGGUUCCGGUAGCGAUCGAGGGAAAUUAGUACCGAAGUCCGGGAUGGAAGAUGGCGAGAAAAGCUGUGUGUAUUUCUGCGGUGCCCGUACCGCAAACCGACACAGGUAGGUAGGAAGAAGAUUCUAAGGCCAACGGGAGAAGGGUUGUUAAGGAACUCGGCAAAUUGACCCCGUAACUUCGGGAGAAGGGGUGCUCCAGAGAUGGAGCCGCAGAGAAUCGGCCCAAGCAACUGUUUACCAAAAACACAGGUUUGUGCUAAAUCGAAAGAUGACGUAUACGAGCUGACGCCUGCCCGGUGCUGGAAGGUUAAGAGGAGAUGUGCAAGCAUUGAAUCGAAGCCCCAGUGAACGGCGGCCGUAACUAUAACGGUCCUAAGGUAGCGAAAUUCCUUGUCAGGUAAGUUCUGACCCGCAUGAAAGGCGUAAUGAUUUGGGCACUGUCUCGACAGCCCGCCCGGCGAAAUUGUAGUACCGGUGAAGAUGCCGGUUACCCGCGACAAGACGGAAAGACCCCAUGGAGCUUUACUGUAGCCUAAUAUUGGGUUUCGAUGUUGCAUGCACAGGAUAGAUGGGACACAGGGAAACAAGUGCUUUGGCAUUUGUGGAGUGGCCGUUGGGAUACCAUCCUUGCGAUAUUGGAAUUCUAACCUGCGCCUUUGAAUCAAGGCGGGGGACAUUGUUAGGUGGGCAGUUUGACUGGGGCGGUCGCCUCCUAAAGAGUAACGGAGGCGUUCAAAGGUUCGCUCAGCUUGAACGGAAAUCAAGCAAAAGAGUGCAAACGCAGAAGCGAGCCUAACUGCGAGACUGACGGGUCGAGCAGUAACGAAAGUUGGAGUUAGUGAUCCGGUGGUAUGUGAGUGGAAAUGCCAUCGCUCAACGGAUAAAAGUUACCCUGGGGAUAACAGGCUGAUCUCCCCCAAGAGUCCACAUCGACGGGGAGGUUUGGCACCUCGAUGUCGGCUCAUCGCAUCCUGGGGCUGUAUUCGGUCCCAAGGGUUUGGCUGUUCGCCAAUUAAAGCGGUACGCGAGCUGGGUUCAGAACGUCGUGAGACAGUUCGGUCCCUAUCUGUCGUGGGCGCAGGAUAUUUGAUGGGAGCUGUUCCUAGUACGAGAGGACCGGAGCGGACGUACCUCUGGCGCACCAGUUGUUCUGCCAAGGGCAUAGCUGGGCAACUAUGUACGGAUCGGAUAAACGCUGAAAGCAUCUAAGCGUGAAGCCGACCCAAAGAUAAGAUAUCCCAUUGUUUCAAACAAGUAAGACCCCUUGAAGACUACAAGGUUGAUAGGCACGAUGUGUAAGUGGAGUGAUCCAUUCAGCAAGCGUGUACUAAUAGGUCGAGGGCUUGACCACAA
rnacentral:rRNA from 1 species